ensembl:lncRNA
AGAAGCAAUGUUAUCAACAAGAUUAUUCAAGGAAAAAGAUUCCGGCAUUGAUCAGAAAUAUCAAGUUGGUGGUCCUCAGAGUUAUCAUAAACUCUUGGAUAAUUCACAACUGUCUGGUCGCAGUGAGGACAAAAUUCUCAGUGAUGGUUGUACUCAUGGAGUUCUGGGAAGACUGAAGGAGGUAAAGAAGAAAUCAAAUAAAAAUCAAAAUGAAAAACUAUCAGUUCUGGGCAAAACCCUUCAAACUGUGGGAAGAUCUUCAGGUAAACUGGAAUAAAAGAUAAGUGGUUCCUCACGCAGGGUUCUUUCCCUGGCGUGAAGAGAAGGAACACGUCUGCCCCGGGGACCACAUGCCUUGUGAACAGCUCCCUGAAGGAGCAGGUGGCGCGGUAAGGCCCUGGGGAGAGCAGCAGGGAGCUGCACAGGAGUCUCCUGGUGGCUGUCCAUGCGGGACACCCGGCCCACCGAGUCCAGAUCCGAGGAGUCCUGGGCCGAGUACACGAUGUCCCCUCCCACUCCCAGCCAAACUGAGCGAGGGGCCACUCCUCUUUCCCAGGAUCAACCGGGACGCCUGAGGCCACUGUCACAUGCCUGUGUUGGCAGUUGCCUGGCCCUGGUGCCCAGGCCCGGGAGGUCCCCAACCUCCGUCAGACGGCCCUUGCUGCACGCAGCCUCCCACCUGGGGCUGAGUCUCACAUCGGGGGGGCCACCUCCCACCCCUCCUCACUGCCUUCUCAGGUACGACUUCCUAACUGCUGAGGUUGGCCCAAGCAUGUCCUCCCGUGGCUUCUCCCCCGAGCCCCACACUUCUCCCUGGAACUUUCCGGAACACCUCCGAGCCUCUUCUCCAGGCCAGUCCUCCUCCCGUCCUCCUGUCCCCCCGAGGCAGACCUCCGUGGACACGUUGCUGGCUCUAACCCACACCCAGCAUUCCACACGCCACACAUCUGCCCACGACCCUAAGUCUGCGUUGGUUUCAGGGACACAUCGCACCAUCACUUUCAAGCUGAUGUCAGGGAAACUACUGAGGCCUUGGGACACGGGCUGUGCUAGGCCACGUCAGUCGGUUUUUUGUAGAUCCAAACGUUUACACCCGGUCACCUUCAUUCAACCUUCAUCUGAUGUUUCUUGAGCACCUACUCUGCGCCGGCCCUGUUCUGAGUUCUCUGGAUUUAUCCCUGCAGACACAGACACCCCUGCCCUCACGGAGCCCACGUUCUAGGGGCUAGAUGUGCCCCACCGUUCCAGCCUGUUGGGAAACUUCUGGGUCCCGACUAUUCCUGCUCCUCCAGCCCCGAUCAUGCUCGAGGAGGCAGCCUGCCGUCUCGUCCUGGUUUAAAUGCCAACGAGGAUGGGGCCCCAGACACGUCACGAGGGGCCUCCCAGUUGCACAAGCUGCUGCCAAGCAUAGGCCGGGAGCUGCUCUGAAGUGGGGCCCCCCACUUCAGACUUGGCGGGGUCAGAGCCAGGCCUGGGCCCUGAAACCCCGGGCCCCAUGGUCUGCACCUCCUCCCACCGCAGGACUGGCCGACGCAAGCAGGGGAAGAGAGGGAGGUCAGUGGUCGCUCAGCCUGCUGCAAGUUUACCAGCCCGUCCUUCACCAGCCAAUUCCCGCUGCUCCAGAUACAGAUGUCAAGGGGGCCUUUGGCAAAUCCCAGCUCCCUGGGACACGAGUGCUCCUACAGGAGAAUGAUAAGGUCUCCCGACAUUCUUUCCAGUAAAUGGAAGAGGAAGAGCAUGGCUCAGAAGAGGCGCAGAGCGGUCAGCACGGCCGCCAGCUCCGAGGGGCUCCCUACAGCAGGAAACCCACCCACCCACCCCACCUCAGGAAUAAAGGACUUAUGUAGACACACAGGUAUGGUUAGCCACCCAUAGAAGGAGAGCUGUUUCGUUCAUGAAAUCCGAAGAAGAGUUCACUUAUUUAGACCAUUUAUUUAGACGUCAAGCUAGAGGGUAUGUGGGUUUCUUUUCGUUGUUUUUUUCUAAGGGAAACAAGAAAAUUAUCAAGUCCGAGAAGACCACCAUUGAAAGGUUCCUCUUUUCUAACAGAAUAAGGUCUGAGGAAGGUUAGCCUCAGAGCUUCUGAGAAUUCUGUCCAUGAUGAACCAGAGUUUGUAGUGGCCUGCAGGCCAGCUGCCCGGCUCCCUCCUCCUGCAGCCGCAGAAACGUGCACAUGCACGUCUGCAAAACACACACUCAGUUUCCCUGCGCCGUAGUGUUUACAGGCCUGGGAAAGUGCAGAGUGGGUCUCUGUGGCAUGGGAGAGGAAAGUGCGCCCCAAGUGGGGUGUCCGCCCCACAGCACUUUCUGGGGGGCGACUGAACAUAUCUUCCGGCAAGUCUGCUCGUCCAAGCCCAUCCUGACCGUGGGCAGGCUCCAUGGCUGCAGACUCAUGAGGUGCCCAGGCUGGAAAGAGUUACUCAGGACAGGUGUGGUUGUCCCGUUUCUCCACAAAGGCAGGUCCGGGGAAGUUAGUGAAUGCUGUACUAGAACGAGCCUGGAUAGAGAACUCCCGUCCUGAGACACAGUCUUGGCAAUGGAUUGGUAUUCGUU